GCAUACUCGUCGAGCGGAUGAGUGGAGCUUGCUCCAUGAUUCAGCGGCGGACGGGUGAGUAAUGCCUAGGAAUCUGCCUGGUAGUGGCGGACAACGUUUCGAAAGGAACGCUAAUACCGCAUACGUCCUACGGGAGAAAGCAGGGGACCUUCGGGCCUUGCGCUAUCAGAUGAGCCUAGGUCGGAUUAGCUAGUAGGUGAGGUAAUGGCUCACCUAGGCGACGAUCCGUAACUCGUCUGAGAGGAUGAUCAGUCACACUGGAACUGAGACACGGUCCAGACUCCUACGGGAGGCAGCAGUGGGGAAUAUUGGACAAUGGGCGAAAGCCUGAUCCAGCCAUGCCGCGUGUGUGAAGAGGUCUUCGGAUUGUAAAGCACUUUAAGUUGGGAGGAAGGGCAUGUAAGUUAAUACCUUGCUGUAUUGACGUUACCAACAGAAUAAGCACCGGCUAACUUCGUGCCAGCAGCCGCGGUAAUACGAAGGGUGCAAGCGUUAAUCGGAAUUACUGGGCGUAAAGCGCGCGUAGGUGGUCAGCAAGUUGGAGGUGAAAUCCACGGGCUCAACCUGGGAACUGCCUCCCAUACUACUGAGCUAGAGUACGGUAGAGGGUAGUGGAAUUUCCUGUGUAGCGGUGAAAUGCGUAGAUAUAGGAAGGAACACCAGUGGCGAAGGCGACUACCUGGACUGAUACUGACACUGAGGUGCGAAAGCGUGGGGAGCAAACAGGAUUAGAUACCCUGGUAGUCCACGCCGUAACCGAUGUCGACUAGCCGUUGGGAUCCUUGAGAUCUUAGUGGCGCAGCUAACGCAUUAAGUCGACCGCCUGCGGAGUACGGCCGCAAGGUUAUAACUCAAAUGAAUUGACGUGGGCCCGAGGUAGAG
rnacentral:rRNA from 1 species